rnacentral:rRNA from 1 species
AGGAGCAUGUGGUUAAUUCGAUGAUACGCGAGGAACUUACCUGGGCUCGAACGUAAGAUGACUGUAGGUGAAAGCUUACAUCUCUUCGGAGCAUUUUACGAGGUGCUGCAUGGUUGUCGUCAGCUCGUGCCGUGAGGUGCCGGGUUAAGUCCCAUAACGAGCGCAACCCCUACCUUUAGUUGCCAUCAGGUUAAGCUGGGGACUCUAAAGGAACUGCCUACGCAAGUAGUGAGGAAGGCGGGGAUGACGUCAAAUCAGCACGGCCCUUACGUCCAGGGCUACACACGUGCUACAAUGGCCGAUACAGAGGGCAGCUACCUGGUGACAGGAUGCAAAUCUCCAAAGUCGGUCUCAGUUCGGAUCGGAGUCUGCAACCCGACUCCGUGAAGUUGGAUUCGCUAGUAAUCGCGCAUCAGCCAUGGCGCGGUGAAUACGUUCCCGGGCCUU